UACGAAGGGGGCAAGCGUUGUCCGGAAUUAUUGGGCGUAAAGAGCUUGUAGGCGGUUUGUCGCGUCUGCUGUGAAAUUUCGGGGCUCAACCCCGAACUUGCAGUGGGUACGGGCAGACUAGAGUGUGGUAGGGGAGACUGGAAUUCCUGGUGUAGCGGUGAAAUGCGCAGAUAUCGGGAGGAACACCGGUGGCGAAGGCGGGUUCUCUGGGCCUUACCUGACGCUGAGGAGCGAAAGCGUGGGGAGCGAACAGG
rnacentral:rRNA from 1 species